GUUUGACCUCAAAUCAGGUAGGAAUACCCGCUGAACUUAAGCAUAUCAAUAAGCGGAGGAAAAGAAACCAACAGGGAUUGCCUUAGUAGCGGCGAGUGAAGCGGCAAAAGCUCAAAUUUGAAAUCUGGCACCUUCGGUGUCCGAGUUGUAAUUUGAAGAUUGUAACCUUGGGGUUGGCUCUUGUCUAUGUUUCUUGGAACAGGACGUCACAGAGGGUGAGAAUCCCGUGCGAUGAGAUGCCCAAUCCUAUGUAAGGUGCUUUCGAAGAGUCGAGUUGUUG
rnacentral:rRNA from 1 species